rnacentral:lncRNA from 1 species
UACAGUAGUUGUGGUCCAUUAUUACAGCAAUAAUAAAGUUUGAACUCGUUGUGGAGAUUAUUUGGGCAGAGAAGUGGGUAGUACCAUAAAAAAUUUCAGGAACUUGAAGAUUACAAUUAUAUCCAUUUUAGUUUUUGUGUUUGUUCUAAUGUUUGUGCACAGCUAGUUGUCUAGUUCUACUCUGCUAAUAUAUAUGAUCAUAUCGAGCUGUUUGUACUCAAGUAGAGUAGGAAUAGAGUGUACUAGCUUGUAGGUGAAAAAUGCUUUUGGAUUAUUACUGUACAAUGAUGUAUUGUGUGAAAUCAACUAAAUUGAGCUGUGUAAAUCUUUU